rnacentral:sRNA from 1 species
GGAGCGGCAGCCUGGACAGGCGGCAGGUACUCGUUGGGCAGCUCGUUCACAUCACGACGGUGACGACGGAGCACCACGCGCCUUUGGGUCUUGUAACGGUAGCCAUCAUCGCCAAAGGUGGUCUCAGGAGCAGCGUCAACGGGAGCCAGGUACUCGUUGGUGGG